rnacentral:lncRNA from 1 species
GACAGAUAAGUCAGACACAAACAGGACCUUUCUAGGUCCUAAGAGGCCCUGGCAGCUCCCCAACAUCCCCCUGCCCUCACCCCAACAUUUCAUAUGCCUUUGCUGAGCCCUGGCCCCACUGCAGGUGCCGGCACAGGACCUGCUGGUUGCGGUGCCCCUUUCUACACAGCCUUGGGGACACAGGCAGCCCCACAUGGCCACGGAAAUGGCUGGCAGACCAGCAACCUGAUGGACAGCCCAACAAAAUGCCACCAGAUGACCAGAAGUGCUGGAGCUCAGCCCUCCAAAAUGCUGCCCAUGCUCCUUCAGAAAGCUAAGUCAGCCCCAUACCGUAGCCUGCCCUACUUUUACACAGCCAUGGAAGGUCCCCAAGAUUCCCAUUCUCCUACCCAAGUGUUUUGGGCUUGUUUGCUCAGCCCUGGCCCCACUGCAGGUGCUGACAUUGCACCUAUGGAUUGGAGAGGCCAUGUCAACCAGGGAUGCUGACAAGCUCCCCCAUACAGCUAUAAAUAAGGCGGGCAGACCAGCUAACUGGUGAGCAGGGCCAUGCCUGGGAGGGCAUCGCAGCGAAGCGGGGCAGGCGGCUGCUCCUUUCUUCCUUCCCAUCUGCCUUGCAGAUGGACGUCUGGACAAAGAUGGAACCAGAGAAGGACACGCGCCUGUCCUCAGCUCUCUAACUGCUCUCAGUGCUGUACAUGACAGAUAAGUCAGACACAAACAGGACCUUUCUAGGUCCUAAGAGGCCCUGGCUGCCCCCCAAGUUCCACCUGCCCUCACCACCAACAUUUUAGACUCCUUUGUUCAGCCCUGGCUCCACUGCAGGUGCCGGCACGGGACCUGCUGAUUGCCAUGCCCCUUUCCACUCACAGGCACGGAAAUGGCUGGCAGACCAGCAACCUGGUGAGCAGGGGCCAUGCAGGGGAGGGCAGCACAGGGAAGCAGGGCAGGCGGCUGCUCCUUUCUUCCUUCCCACCUGCCUUGCAGAUGGACAGCCCAACAUAAUGCCACCAGAUGACCAGAAGUCCCAGAGGUCAGCCCUCCAAAAUGCUGCCCAUGCUCCUUCAGAAAGCUAAGUCAGCCCCAUACCAUAGCCUCCCUUGAUCCUACACAACAGUGGAAGCUCCCCACAUUCCCCCUGUUCUUACCCCAAACCUUUCACUUUGCUCUGCUGAGUCUGGCCCCACUGCAGGUGCUGGCACCUCACCUCCUGACUGCAGUGGCCGUGUCAACGUGGCAUAGCUGACACAAUGACCCCAAAUGGCCAAGGAAACCAUUGUCAGACCAGCUACCUGGUGAGCAGGGCCAUGCCUGGGAGGGCAACACAGGGAAGCAGGGCAGGCGGCUGCUCCUUUCUUCCUUCCCAUCUGCCUUGCAGAUGGACAUCUGGACAAAGAUGGAACCAGACCACCACAGCCAGGACGGAAGAAGAAGCUAAAGAUGAAUGGAUGGGCCAAAUUGAGAAACACCAGAGACACCACAUCCAGAAGAGAAGGCAAGCACCGUAACCGAGUGUGCUGCUCAGACCAGGGACGAAAGUUUAGGAGCAAUGAAGACCGUCAGCCUUCCUCCCUCGACCCUCAGAUGACCACCGAGAAGCUAUCGCAGAAUUAAAAAAAAAAUUUAAAACCUUCAAAAUAAACUUUCUGAUUCAUUAAACCCA